rnacentral:rRNA from 1 species
CUGGCGGCAUGCUUAACACAUGCAAGUCGGCACGGGCGGGGCAACUCCGUCAGUGGCGGACGGGUGAGUAAGCGUAGGAAUCUANCCUUGAAUGGGGGACAACCGUGGGAAACUACGGCUAAAUACCGCAUGAUCCCUGAGGGGCAAAGGCGAAAGUCGCCUGAGGAGGAGCCUGCGUCUGAUUAGGUAGUUGGUGGGGUAAAGGCCUACCAAGCCUGCGAUCAGUAGCUGGUCUGAGAGGAUGAUCAGCCACACUGGGACUGAGACACGGCCCAGACUCCUACGGGAGGCAGCAGUGGGGAAUAUUGGACAAUGGGCGCAAGCCUGAUCCAGCAAUGCCGCGUGGAUGAAGAAGGUCUUCGGAUUGUAAAGUCCUUUUUGGCGGGGACGAUGAUGACGGUACCCGCAGAAUAAGCUCCGGCUAACUUCGUG